rnacentral:rRNA from 1 species
UACGGAGGGUGCAAGCGUUAUCCGGAUUCACUGGGUUUAAAGGGUGCGUAGGCGGGUAAGUAAGUCCGUGGUGAAAUCUCUGAGCUUAACUCAGAAACUGCCGUGGAUACUAUUUGCCUUGAAUAUUGUGGAGGUGAGCGGAAUAUGUCAUGUAGCGGUGAAAUGCUUAGAUAUGACAUAGAACACCAAUUGCGAAGGCAGCUCACUACUCAAUCAUUGACGCUGAGGCACGAAAGCGUGGGGAUCAAACAGG